AAUAGAAGGUCCCGCCUGCCCUGUGACUAUAUGUUUAACGGCCGCGGUAUUUUGACCGUGCGAAGGUAGCGCAAUCACUUGUCUUUUAAAUGGAGACCUGUAUGAAUGGCAUAACGAGGGCUUAGCUGUCUCCUUUUUCAAGUCAAUGAAAUUGAUCUCCCCGUGCAGAAGCGGGGAUAACACCAUAAGACGAGAAGACCCUAUGGAGCUUUAGACACCAAGGCAGAUCAUGUUAAACACCCCUUCACAAAGGACUAAACCAGAUGAACCCUGCCCUAAUGUCUUUGGUUGGGGCGACCGCGGGGAAACAGAAAACCCCCACGUGGAAUGGGAACACUCCUUCCUACAACUAAGAGCUCCCGCUCUAAUGACCAGAACUUCUGACCAAUUAGAUCCGGCAACGCCGAUCAACGAACCGAGUUACCCUAGGGAUAACAGCGCAAUCCCCUUUUAGAGCCCAUAUCGACAAGGGGGUUUACGACCUCGAUGUUGGAUCAGGACAUCCUAAUGGUGCAGCCGCUAUUAAGGGU
rnacentral:rRNA from 1 species